GGAGUUAGCCGGUGCUUCUUCUGUGAGUGAUGUCCUUCCUGCCGGCUAUUAACCCGCAGGCCUUCUUCCUCACUGAAAGUGCUUUACAACCCGAAGGCCUUCUUCACACACGCGGCAUGGCUGGAUCAGGGUUGCCCCCAUUGUCCAAUAUUCCCCACUGCUGCCUCCCGUAGGAGUCUGGGCCGUGUCUCAGUCCCAGUGUGGCUGAUCAUCCUCUCAGACCAGCUACGGAUCGUCGCCUUGGUGAGCCGUUACCUCACCAACCAGCUAAUCCGACAUAGGCUCAUCCGAUAGCGCGAGGCCCGAAGGUCCCCCGCUUUCCCCCGUAGGGCGUAUGCGGUAUUAGCCUGGGUUUCCCCAGGUUAUCCCCCACUACCGGGCAGAUUCCUAUGCAUUACUCACCCGUCCGCCGCUCGCCACCAGGGAGCAAGCUCCCCGUGCUGCCGCUCGACUUGCAUGUGUUAGGCCUGCCGCCAGCGUUCAAUCUGAGCCAGUGAUACAACUCUACGA
rnacentral:rRNA from 1 species